rnacentral:lncRNA from 1 species
UUGUGUUUCUUGGAUUUUUUGGAGGCAGAAGAGACAGGAGGUACUGUCGGACGUGUUUGUCCCUGCAUAUAAGUGAGAUAUUAGAAACCACGUAGUAUUUCUUAUGGGAAGUCACAAGUCACUAGGAAUGCUUCAGAUAGGGGCAUACAGAAGAACUGGGUUUCCUCAAAACCUGAGCAAUGGGGCGCCCGUCGUCGUCAGAAGAUUCCUCAGGAGCAGCCUGCAAGAAGGGAGAGGAUGGCUAAGAAUAAAAGUAAA